AAUCCAAGAGCUAAGAGACCUAAGGGAGAAAAAUACAGAAAAAGAAAAGUUGCUACUGUUCCAUUGAGACUUGGCUCUACACCUCGAAAUUUUCACUCUCUGAAACAUUUUUUUGGUCUGGACUUUGAAAUGGUUUGAGGUUUAGUCAGUGAGGUCAGAUUUUGGUGUUUAUCGAAUUGGCUAUGUGUUUUGAAGCUGGUGUUAGCUUACUGAAUUGCAUUUUACUGGGUUUUGAACUAUGAAGUUACUGUUUUAUUGGAUUUGGAACUAAUUCUGUGGUUUCAUCACUGAAUCUGGGCUGUUUUGUUGCUGCUAUCAAUCUCUGUUGAAGUACAAACUGUUGAUCCUUCUUUAUUUACUUGUUCCUUUCAUUUCAGGAGUGGAGUUAAAUCAAGGUUGAUUCCAGUUCAUCGCCGGUGAAGUUCCCUAUGCCCAGUCCGGCUUGUUCGAGCUCUCUCGUCGAGCUUGUAUCUUUGUAUUCAUCUCCAUGUAUAUAAAGAAAUUGGGAGUAGAAGUAUAUCCCAUUGGAGUAGAACAAGUAAGUUGCUUUGCUUUUUCUUUCUAGGCUAUUCAAGUUAAUGGACUAUUUUUAUAGAAUUAUCAUUUUGCUUAGAUCUUGACAGUUGGUAUUGGGAAUGUGUGGAAUAUUUGGUAUUUCUGUUUGCACUUGACCCUUUCUAUUUCAAAUUGCUUCCAUGAAA